rnacentral:lncRNA from 1 species
GAACAUUUAGAAUUAUAUGUGUGGUUCACAUUAUUUUUCUAUCAAACAGGACUUUCUAGACUUUUCUAAUAAAUUGUCUCUAGAGGUCACGUGUCUCAAGAAUUGACAUUUUUUUGUGACUCCUCAGGUCUAGAGUUGCUGAUGAGAGUAGGAACCAAAGCUGAGGGGGAAAGUGAAGACACAGCAAGAGCUACCCAUGGAAAUGACUCAAGCUCUGACGAUCGGGACCCCAACUGGUCACUCAACUUGGUUACAAACAGAUUUGCACUUGACAGCAUGUUGAUGAAACAAGCAGCUGAAGCAUCAACGAAUCCUGUUGGUUCUACUUUCAAAAUAAAUCACUUGCUCCAUAAAUAUAUUCUCAAGACAGCAGCUGGAGUGAUCUUUUACAGGUAAGUCACAUCUCCUCCGUUAAAAACCUUCCAGUGGCUUUCCAUCUCAAUUAGAGUCACAGUCAGAGUUUUGCAAUGGCCCUAAAGACCCUACGUGAUCUUUCCUCACCCUGAACAACUCUGCAACUUAAUCCCCUACCGCUGUCCGCCUCAUUCCUCUGGCUCCAGUCACACUGGCCCCUUGACUUUCCUCAGACACUCCAGCCACACUCCCAUCUCAGAGCCUUUGCUUUGUUGCACAUUCAGCCCUGGAAAGUUCUUCUCCCAAAUAACUUAAUGGCUUGCUUCCUCACUUCUUUCAACGUCUGUGUUCAAAUGUCACCUUAACUGUGAGGUCUUCCCUGACCACCCUAAAAAAAUAGGAAUCUGUCUUUUCUAUGUUUUCCUAUCUAAGGCAUGAAUAAUUGCAAAUAAUAAUGCAUCCUACGAUGUGAUUCUUACCACCACUCCCCUUCCCAUCACUGUGGGUCCCUCUCACCCCACUCUGUUUUCUCUUCUUGUUGGUUUGUCUCACUUACUAUCUGACAUAAUAUAUAUUUACUUGUUUAUUUAUUGUCUGUCCCCCUAAACUGAAAUAAUAGCUCCACAACAGCAAGGGAACUUUGUUGAUGGCGUUCACUGCUGUAUUCCCGUUACCCAGAUUGUCACCUGGAGCAAAGUAAGUGUCCAAUAAAUAAAUGCCCAGUAAAUAAACGUGUCCA